ensembl:snRNA U6 U6 spliceosomal RNA
AUACUCACUUUGUCAGCACAUGUACUAGAAUUGGAACAAUACAGAGAAGAUUAGCAUGGCCCCUGCACAAGGAUGACACCCAAAUUCAUGAAACAUUCCACUUUUUA